UUUUACCCAACAAUAAGGGCAGAAUGAAGCAUACAAUUUCAAAUAUAAAGAAGUUUAAGAAUGUACAAAAUGUUGGUGAUCAUUACCUGCCCAAAACCGCCCUGCCUUGAAAAAAAAAUAAUAACAUAAAACAUGAUGAUUGUUUGUGAAAGGUAAAAUAUAAAAUAGUCAAUUGAUCUGUGAAAUAUCACUUACAGGGUCACACUUUCCAUCAUUGAAUCGGUUGUGAGGGCGAUCAUCUGUAGGAUUUUCACACAGUUAUUCACAGGUUUCUGGCAUGAUUAGAAUAAGUUUUUGGCCAUAUUUGAAUCAAUGAGUUCCCUGUUAAGAACAUGUGAAAUUCAAAGGCUUAUUCACAGGUCUCUCACAGGAUAUUUACAGGUUCCACGUAGUAGAUGAUAAGUGAACAUAGGGGUCAAACAAGACAUAUGAGCAGUGAAGCAAACAAAGUGACAGAGGGGAGAGGAGGUCAAGAAAGAUGAAGUCUCGUCCAGAUGCCAUCACAAGUGAUCUGCUUUGCUCUUUUGGGACUCCUACAACAAAUAAACAUAGUUAAAAUAAGAAUAAGGGAAAGAAAGGAAAUGUAUCUUUAUAAAAUAAGUACAGGGCUUAUUGCUUAAAUAUGCCUCCCUGAAUAAGCUUGGGCCAAAAAGGAACAAAAUAAUAAGUACCUACUCCAAAUACACCUUUGCUUAAACAUGCACAAUGUAGAAUACAAUGACAAGGGGGGUUGUAUGUUUUAAGUAACGAAGGUAUUCCAUUAGCAUAAUUUAUUGCCAAAGCCUACUAUUUUCUAGCUUUCAUUCAGUACCACAUCAACAUGUUCAUGACGCAAUGUUGAAUUGCUUUCCCUAAAAUCACCCCAGCAUGCUGCUCAAUGUAAGAAUCAUGAAUCAUCGAAAGCUUAUUGUUAUAUGGUAAUGGAAGGCAUUUAACUCCUUGCACACAAGCAAACAAGUUCUUCCCCAAAUUACGUGCCUAACCAAAGACAUGAAAAAUUGAAUAAGCGCUGUAGCAUUUAUUUGAGCAAUUAAGUUAUGUUACUAACCUGCCCCUACAACAUUGUCAAAUUGAUACUUCUGAUCCUGUACAAAAUGAAUAUUCCAAUUAUAAUAAAAAAAUGAGGCAAAAAUAUACAAGAAAAGGAAAAACAACGUUUAGGAACAUAAUUAGCAAACAAGAUCAUAUAGCUGUCAACUCACCCACAUUAGGGAAAGUUUAUUUAUUACUCCAAAGGGGGAGGAGGGGUGUGAGGAUUUUGAUAAAAGUAAGGAAUAACAUUAGUUGCCCCCCCCCCCCUCCUGGAUGAACAAAAUUGUCCAUGCCCCCCCUUAAGCUUCCCCCAUAUUUUCUGUACCCCCCUUGGGAUGAUAAAUGAACUUUCCCUUAGGUGGGUGUCAAAAGAUUUUGGACCUCAUCACCAGCUUAAUUAUUGUGAAAAUGUUUAUACAUUGUCUGUGUUCCUCAUCCCAUUGGGCUCUAUAGACUACAGCAUCCAUGGCCCCAUUUUAAGAUAUUUUCACAUAUUUACUGUAUUUCACCCGAUUUCACGAGAUUUCUGUCAAAGUUGGGUUGACAGCUAUCUUCUAAAAAGUGGACAAACAGGGAAACAGGGUUUUCUAUCAAUGUUUUUGGUCCUGUGCACUGAUUGUCUUUAUGCUUACUUGUAUAUAAAACCAUUUCUGGAAUCGCU